rnacentral:rRNA from 1 species
CCUACGGGAGGCAGCAGUGGGGAAUAUUGCACAAUGGGCGAAAGCCUGAUGCAGCGACGCCGCGUGAGGGAUGACGGCCUUCGGGUUGUAAACCUCUUUCAGCAGGGAAGAAGCGAAAGUGGCGGUACCUGCAGAAGAAGCGCCGGCUAACUACGUGCCAGCAGCCGCGGUAAUACGUAGGGCGCAAGCGUUGUCCGGAAUUAUUGGGCGUAAAGAGCUCGUAGGCGGCUUGUCACGUCGGGUGUGAAAGCCCGGGGCUUAACCCCGGGUCUGCAUUCGAUACGGGCUAGCUAGAGUGUGGUAGGGGAGAUCGGAAUUCCUGGUGUAGCGGUGAAAUGCGCAGAUAUCAGGAGGAACACCGGUGGCGAAGGCGGAUCUCUGGGCCAUUACUGACGCUGAGGAGCGAAAGCGUGGGGAGCGAACAGGAUUAGAUACCCUGGUAGUCCACGCCGUAAACGGUGGGAACUAGGUGUUGGCGACAUUCCACGUCGUCGGUGCCGCAGCUAACGCAUUAAGUUCCCCGCCUGGGGAGUACGGCCGCAAGGCUAAAACUUAAUGAAUUGACGG